CAACACAUGCAGGAAUGACAUGGAAACUCUUGGUCCAGUCCUGGGAAACUGAUGCUCUCUUUCCUUUCACAAGCCAGAGGGAUCUGGCAGUGUUUUCUCAGACUUCUCUCUUGUACUCUUGGAAUCUUGGUGCCCCCUGCGAUCUAAGGAGCAAGGAUUACUGAGGAGGAAGUAUGACAUAGUGCAGUGGUUCGCAAAGUGUGGUCCCUGGACCAGCAGCAUCAGCGUCUCUUGGGAACUUAGCACAAGUGCAAAUUCUCCCACCCACACAAUAGACCUACUGAAUCAGAGAUCCUGGGGUGAGGGCCAGCCAUCAGUGUUUUCACCAGCCUUCCUGGAGAUUCUGAUCCAGGAGAGGAGAACUACUGAUUACAAGCACAGACGGAUCAUGAACAGAACAUUGCUUUGAUUGCCAGCUCUGCCACUUAUCUCUUGGGAUCCUAAUCAGAGUUCUGCCUCCAGGAGGCGUCUUUGGCCACUCCAGUCCUCAGAGAUCGCUCUACUCUGACAUCUUCUAGGCUUUGCAAUAACGGUCACUCCUGGAGUCAUUUCAAGCAACAAUGUCUAAACUUAUGGAAAACGACUGCCUGAAGUCACCAAGAGGACAAAGUCAGGAUGAAGACCAGGCCAGCUUACAGCGUCCAGUGGGGCCCUGUUGUCUGUGUGAGCCCAGCUAACUGAAGAUGAAUAGACAAUUUUCCGUAAUGAUACCUUCACUGGUAUUUACCUCUCCUGUCAGCUUAACAAUCCACUCCCUGAAUAAGCAGGACCAUUUUCAGAAGAGGUUGAAAGAGAAGGGCUAGGGGGGCUUGGGGGAACUCUGUCCUGGUCUUACUUUCUUCUUGGGCAUCUUGGUAUUUGCCAGUUAGCCAUCCCUAGGUAGACCUAGCCAUCAGGUAGGCAUGCAAAUCCAUAUAUCAGCUUCCAGAUUUAUACAUCAAAGUCAAAGAGGUAGCUACAUGGCCAAUAGGCAUGACAGGAUCCUAUCAUUAAAUAAGUACCUAUAACAGUGGUUUUUAACCUUGGUUGAGCAGAACUUUAAAAACCCAAGAAUUUCCAUUUGAAACCACUAAAAUAAGAACCUCUGAGGGUGGACACAGACACUGGCAUUUUUACCUUUUUUUUUUUUAAUGAGAUACACUUUAAAUACCUCUGAAAUGUAUACAUCUUAACUACACAUCUUAAUGUGUUUUGAUGAAUUUAUACACUUAUGCAACUAACACCCCAUCAAGAUAUGCAGCAUUUCCACCACCUCUGAAAGUUCCUACUUGCCGCUUCCUAAUCAAUCCCCAGAGCUCAAGAUGCAAACAUUGUUCUGAUUUUUUUUUUUCUUUUUAGGGC